UCAUGAUCCAGUGAUCAGAAUGUUCCAUUGUCUUUUCAUUGUUUUAAAAAUCUCACUGUUCUCCAUGUCAUCCAGUCAUGAUCCAGUGAUCAGAAUGUUCCAUUGUCUUUUCAUUGUUUUGAAAAUCUCACUGUUCUCCAUGUCAUCCAGUCAUGAUCCAGUGAUCAGAAUGUUCCAUUGUCUUUUCAUUGUUUUGAAAAUCUCACUGUUCUCCAUGCCAUCCAGUCAUGAUCCAGUGAUCAGAAUGUUCCAUUGUCUUUUCAGUGUUUUGAAAAUCUCACUGUUCUCCAUGCCAUCCAGUCAUGAUCCAGUGAUCAGAAUGUUCCAUUGUCUUUUCAUUGUUUUGAAAAUCCUACCGUUCUCCAUGCCAUCCA
rnacentral:lncRNA from 1 species